rnacentral:rRNA from 1 species
AGGAUUAACGCUGGCGGCGUGCCUAACACAUGCAAGUCGAACGAGGUAGCAAUACCUAGUGGCAGACGGGUGAGUAACGCGUGGUCAACCUACCGUUGAGUGGGGGAUAACUAGCCGAAAGGUUAGCUAAUACCGCAUACGAGUCUCGGGGGCAUCCCUGGGCCUUAAAAGGAGCAAUCCGCUCGAUGACGGGACCGCGUCCCAUUAGCUAGAUGGUGGGGUAAUGGCCUACCAUGGCUCCGAUGGGUAGCUGGUUUGAGAGAGCGACCAGCCACACUGGGACUGAGAAACGGCCCAGACUCCUACGGGAGGCAGCAGUGAGGAAUUUUCCGCAAUGGGCGAAAGCCUGACGGAGCGACGCCGCGUGUGGGAAGAAGGCCUUCGGGUCGUAAACCACGUGUCGAAGGGGACGAGUAAUGACGGUACCUUGGAGGAAGCCCGGCUAACUACGCGCCAGCAGGCCGC